UACGUAGGGGGCAAGCGUUAUCCGGAUUUACUGGGUGUAAAGGGAGCGUAGGCGGGUUUUCAAGUCUGGUGUGAAAGCCCCGGGCUCAACCCUGGGACUGCAUUGGAAACUGUAGGACUUGAGUGUCGGAGAGGUAAGUGGAAUUCCUAGUGUAGCGGUGAAAUGCGUAGAUAUUAGGAGGAACACCAGUGGCGAAGGCGACUUACUGGACGAUAACUUACGCUGAGGCUCGAAAGCGUGGGGAGCUAACAGG
rnacentral:rRNA from 1 species